rnacentral:rRNA from 1 species
CAGCAGCCGCGGUAAUACGUAGGUGGCGAGCGUUGUCCGGAAUUACUGGGCGUAAAGGGCGCGUAGGCGGUCUACUAAGUCAGAUGUGAAACCCCUAGGCUCAACCUGGGGCUUGCAUAUGAAACUGGUAGGCUAGAGUGUCGGAGAGGGAAGCGGAAUUCCUAGUGUAGCGGUGAAAUGCGUAGAUAUUAGGAGGAACACCAGUGGCGAAGGCGGCUUUCUGGACGAUAACUGACGCUGAGGCGCGAAAGCGUGGGGAGCAAACAGGAUUAGAUACCCUGGUAGUCCACGCUGUAAACGAUGGAUACUAGGUGUGGGAGGUAUCGACCCCUUCCGUGCCGCAGUAAACGCAAUAAGUAUCCCGCCUGGGGAGUACGGCCGCAAGGCUGAAACUCAAAGGAAUUGACGGGGGCCCGCACAAGCAGCGGAGCAUGUGGUUUAAUUCGAAGCAACGCGAAGAACCUUACCAGAGCUUGACAUCUUCCUGCAUAGUCCGUAAUGGGACGAAAUCCUUCGGGACAGGAAGACAGGUGGUGCAUGGCC